GACGAACGCUGGCGGCGUGCUUAACACAUGCAAGUCGAACGGAAAGGCCCUGCUUUUGUGGGGUGCUCGAGUGGCGAACGGGUGAGUAACACGUGAGUAACCUGCCCUUGACUUUGGGAUAACUUCAGGAAACUGGGGCUAAUACCGGAUAGGAGCUCCUGCUGCAUGGUGGGGGUUGGAAAGUUUCGGCGGUUGGGGAUGGACUCGCGGCUUAUCAGCUUGUUGGUGGGGUAGUGGCUUACCAAGGCUUUGACGGGUAGCCGGCCUGAGAGGGUGACCGGCCACAUUGGGACUGAGAUACGGCCCAGACUCCUACGGGAGGCAGCAGUGGGGAAUAUUGCACAAUGGGCGGAAGCCUGAUGCAGCAACGCCGCGUGCGGGAUGACGGCCUUCGGGAUGUAAACCGCUUUCGCCUGUGACGAAGCGUGAGUGACGGUAAUGGGUAAAGAAGCACCGGCUAACUACGUG
rnacentral:rRNA from 1 species